rnacentral:lncRNA from 1 species
AAAAAAAGUUGAAAAUGAAUGACAAAAAAGAGAAGAAGAUAAAGUCUCGGGCAGAGGGGAUCUCCUUGCCAACUAGCCAGAAGCAUGUAAAAGAAAAUCAAACCAAUUGGGGUCGUCCUUUUAGCCGAUCUUUUUCAUGCCCAUUACCUCUUCCAAACGGAACCCUUUGCCAAGGAAAAAACUGGGGCAACUUUGUGAGUCUCAAAUUUUUCAUCAACCCAUGACCCAAAACUGAGGCAGCCUUGUGAGUCUCAUACAAAUUUUUUAUCAACCCAUGAUACCAAGACUGGGGCAGAUUUGCAAGUCUCAUUUGAUUUGUUCACCCUUAUUUUCAUACCCCUAUGCUCAUUUUCCCAAACACUAAACCGGGGCAAUUUUUUUGGUAUAUCUUGUUUCAUCUUGGCACUCAUAUAUUACAUCUCCUUUGAGGAUUGUAGCACCCAUGUGCCGGUCCCAGUCUUCCAAACCAUUCCAAACAACUCUCAUUCUCUUCAAAACCAUCCUCUUGCCAAUAAAUUCAAGCAUGUGUGCAUUGAUGUCCCGAAAGAAAAGUCAAAAUGUGAUAAUCUCAAAGUUUAGACCUCGGAUGUAAGACAUUUAUCACUUUCACAAAACAUUGAAAAUGAAAAUCAGUUGAUAAUUGCGAGCAAGACAAUUGACUCAAGCAAAAAAAAAAGAAAAAAGAAAAAGCACAAAACAAAGCAAAUGUUUU